rnacentral:rRNA from 1 species
UACGUAGGGGGCAAGCGUUGUCCGGAUUUAUUGGGCGUAAAGAGCGUGUAGGCGCCAGACAGGUCUGCUGUGAAAACUCGAGGCUCAACCUCGAGACGCCGGUGGAAACCGUCUGGCUAGAGUCCGGAAGAGGAGAGUGGAAUUCCUGGUGUAGCGGUGAAAUGCGCAGAUAUCAGGAAGAACACCCGUGGCUAAGGCGGCUCUCUAGUACGGUACUGACGCUGAGACGCGAAAGCGUGGGGAGCGAACAGG